rnacentral:rRNA from 1 species
CCUACGGGAGGCAGCAGUGAGGAAUGUUGCGCAAUGGGCGAAAGCCUGACGCAGCGACGCCGCGUGAGGGAUGAAGGCCUUCGGGUUGUAAACCUCUGUCAGUGGGAAAGAGAAAGGACGGUACCUACUGAGGAAGCCUCGGCUAACUACGUGCCAGCAGCCGCGGUAAUACGUAGGGGGCGAGCGUUGUCCGGAAUCACUGGGCGUAAAGAGCUCGUAGGCGGGAUUGUAAAUCAGAGAGUAAAUGCAGCAGCUCAACUGCUGUGUCGGCUCUGAUACUGCAGUUCUUGAGGACAGGAGAGGGAAGUGGAAUUCCCGGUGUAGCGGUGAAAUGCGUAGAUAUCGGGAGAAACACCAGUGGCGAAGGCGACUUCCUGGCCUGGUUCUGACGCGGAG